UAAUAAACAACUAAAGUAAUAAUAAAAAAUUAAACUAAUAUAAAAUGGCGGUCUAAAUUACACUUAAAGAAACUCGCUUCAUAAUCGAUAAUUCACGAUAAAUUUAACUUAUUAUUAAAAUAAUUCAUAUACCGCCGUUAAAGAAACAAUCUUAUAUAUAGUGUCCUAACCUAAAACACCAAUUUUUCAUUUUUUAAGCAAAAUCAGGUCAAGGUGUGAUCAAUUAACAAGAAGAAGUUAGUUACAAUAAAACAAAUUUAAGGAAUUUAAUUAAAUUAAAGCUAAAUGAAAGAGAAUUUACAAAUACAUAUUAAUUAAAAUUUAAAGUCGAAAAAAUACAUAAGACGC
rnacentral:rRNA from 1 species